CCAAAGAUGACUUAAAGAAAAGAGGCACUGAAGCCAUGUGGACUUACUGCUUUGUCAUCAACCUUGGAGAAGAAUACAUUUUUAGCCACCGUAGUUAUAUUCUUCUUGGACCACAACGGCAGCUAUGUGGAAGAUGGGUAGCCCCUGGUGCCCCACGAACAACAGCUUGAUUCGAUGAAUUUGGCUGAAAAAUAGGUCUUUGACCUGUUUGCUUUAUUUAUGAAGCCAACGUGUUCGUAUCUGUAUGUACCCGACCCUUCUGUCUCCAAACUCUAUCUUUCUCAUUUUCAAAGGACGAUAUCUCAUUGAGAAAGAAGAGGAAAAAGGGGAGACCAAGGAGAAGCUUUGAUCGAUCAUCCUGCAUUCUUUGAUCGAGGGAUUCUUUUGUUGUCGGAUCUAAUUCUAACCAAGGUUGGACCGUGGGAAAAAGAAAAUCAACUAUCUUUUACAGACUACUCGAGUUCCUCUUCCACUUGAUUUAAGGCUUCAAAUUAGAAUGGGAUCCUGUAAUGCAAGAACAUGUUCGACGUAUUGACCAUGGUGAAAUUUUUCGAUGAUACUUUUCGAUGCUAAAGGCUUUGAUAUCUCUUAUGAAGGUAAGCACAUAUACAAGAGGAACAUAAUAUGCAAGUAUUUCUUAUUGUAGUCUAUUUGCUCUAUUGGAAAGCUUUAUUAAGGUGGGAUUACAUGCAUUUAUCUGAUCAGUAACAUUUUAUUCAGGUGACCGAAAACAUGAAGAAUGAGCAAUAGCACUUGAAAAGUAUGUUAAAGACUGUCCAGAUGUAAAAAAUUCAGCGAAGGGCCAUGUGUUUAUUUUUCGCACAGGGCCCCUAAAAUCAUAGAACCGGCCCCGGUAACCACUUCGAUGAUGAGCAGCUGCCUGGUGGAGGCGACUUAUAGCCGUCUGGUUUGGGUUUGACAGAAGCAUAUAUUUAAAGUUUUUGUUAGAAAUGUCUGACCCUAUGGUCAAGCUGCGUGAUUUUAUUUCAAUCCGUCUGGUUAGGCAUUUCGGUAUGGUUUGGUGCAUAGUUUCAUGAACGAUCUUUUUAACUAGUCGUGUGAUACAUAUUUUGUUUGUAUGUUAUCCUCUGUCCCCCAAGUUUUAACCGCACAUUACUACGUGUGGAUUGGAUAAGUUUAACUAUUAUUUGGGUAUUUUUGCCCCCACAUUUGAAAGUAACCAAAUAAACUAA